rnacentral:rRNA from 1 species
GAGUUUGAUCCUGGCUCAGGACGAACGCUGGCUGGCGUGCUUAACACAUGCAAGUCGAACGAGGCAGCGGCCUUCGGGCCGUUGUCGAGUGGCGAACGGGUGAGUAACACGUGAGAAACCUGCCCCGGAGACCGGGAUAACCAGGGGAAACUCUGGCUAAUACCGGAUGCCCUCGGAUGGUCGCAUGGCCGACUGAGGAAAUGUUCCGGCGCUCCGGGAGGGUCUCGCGGCCUAUCAGCUUGUUGGCGGGGUAACGGCCCACCAAGGCAUCGACGGGUAGCUGGUCUGAGAGGACGAUCAGCCACACUGGGACUGAGACACGGCCCAGACUCCUACGGGAGGCAGCAGUGGGGAAUAUUGCGCAAUGGGCGAAAGCCUGACGCAGCAACGCCGCGUGGGGGAUGACGGCCUUCGGGUUGUAAACCCCUUUCAGCAGGGACGAAAAUGACGGUACCUGCAGAAGAAGCCCCGGCCAACUACGUGCCAGCAGCCGCGGUAACACGUAGGGGGCAAGCGUUGUCCGGAUUUAUUGGGCGUAAAGAGCUCGUAGGCGGUUGCGUAAGUCGGAUGUGAAAACUCAGGGCUCAACCCGGAGACGCCAUCCGAUACUGCGCUGACUAGAGUCCGGUAGGGGAGCAUGGAAUUCCUGGUGUAGCGGUGAAAUGCGCAGAUAUCAGGAGGAACACCAGUGGCGAAGGCGGUGCUCUGGGCCGGUACUGACGCUCAGGAGCGAAAGCGUGGGUAGCGAACAGGAUUAGAUACCCUGGUAGUC